GCUUAACCGACUGCACCACCCAGGCGCCCCAUCUCACUGUUUGUAUCGGUCUCCAUCCUGUCUUCAGCCAUAAACUUUUAAAAGCCACCAUCUGAUAAAAAGUGGACUCUGCAGCCCUAGGGAGAGAAACUAACGUUCUUAUUCGGUGGUCUGCUGCAUUGAAGCCCAGAGUUUAUUUCCCAGCACAACACAGAUGAGGAUAUUUAGGCUAAGAGAGGUCCAGUGACUCACCCAUGGAUGCACAGCUACUAUGGGUUUGCAUACACAAAUGAGUUCUCCUAACAACCGGGCUGUAAGAAUUUAGAGGUGAUAGAAAUGACCAAGGAGCUGGUGUUCUCAAAGAAAGCUCCAUGGAAUGGAAAUUGAUCUCAGCUUUAAAAGACAGGACUUGGAUAAGAAGAAAAGGAGGAGAGUAUUUUCCAGGAGAGAGGAUGACACACACCAAGUCAUGCAGGUAAGAAUACAUCCAUGUUUUCUAGAAGCAUUGACUUUCA